rnacentral:rRNA from 1 species
AUUGAACGCUGGCGGCAUGCCUUACACAUGCAAGUCGAACGGUAACGGGCCUUCGGGUGCCGACGAGUGGCGAACGGGUGCGUAAUACAUCGGAACGUUCCCGAUCGUGGGGGAUAACGAGGCGAAAGCUUUGCUAAUACCGCAUACGAUCUACGGAUGAAAGCAGGGGACCGCAAGGCCUUGCGCGGACGGAGCGGCCGAUGGCAGAUUAGGUAGUUGGUGGGAUAAAAGCUUACCAAGCCGACGAUCUGUAGCUGGUCUGAGAGGAUGAUCAGCCACACUGGGACUGAGACACGGCCCAGACUCCUACGGGAGGCAGCAGUGGGGAAUUUUGGACAAUGGGCGCAAGCCUGAUCCAGCCAUGCCGCGUGCAGGAUGAAGGCCUUCGGGUUGUAAACUGCUUUUGUACGGAACGAAAAGCCUUCUUUUAAUACAGGAGGGUCAUGACGGUACCGUAAGAAUAAGCACCGGCUAACUACGUG